CUGAUUUUGGACUCUUAGCUACAGAAAGAAGACGCAGCUUCAGGUCAUUUUCUUGGCCAUUAUAUUUUGUCCUGAUCUUGGAACUGAUCAAAUUGCAGUAUAAAGGUCAGGCAGACACAAAGGAAGAAGAAUAGGACUUCUACUGCUGUAGCGACUGAAUGAUUCUGUGACAUUGGUCAUUUUUCAGAGCAGAUGAAGAAUAGAUGCCUGUGAGUAUUGUCUUGUACCAGCUCCGUGGUAAGGAACUACGUUGAAGUGAGUUGAGUAGUUUCCUUUAGCCAAAAGAUUGAUCUUUGCCACCAUCGUGUGGCGCCGUGCUGUCAAGGAACCAUAUUGAAGUGAGUUGAGGGGUUUCAUUUAGUCAAAUAUCUUGCUUUGUUGCCAUCUUGUGGUGUUUCAGUGUAAAAGAACAAUGGCAAAGUGGGUUUGAGGAGUUUCAUUUCAUUUCUCUGUCACGGCAGGUUCCUUAAAACCACAAAAUCGCCCCAAGGUGCGGACGUGAACGCUUGUUUGUUUUGAUGCGCCUUGCAAUUGGCUGAGCACCGGUUUGCCCAAAAGUACUUCUGAAGAAAAAGUGCUCGGCGCGUCCCGAAUUGUGAACAAUGACUGACAUUUGUCGAUGGGAAGACUCUGAUCAUGUUCAUGAUUUAACAAGAUAUGAAACAGUUGGAAGUGGCUGGCGAGUUGCAGUUGGCGCAAGCUUCAGGAGGAAGACGAGCAACUUGAGGCAGCCCAAUUCUCCAACCGAACGCCCGGCCAUUUGUUUCAGGUGG